GGCUCCAUAGUGUAGUGGUUAACAUGUCUGCUUUACACACAGAAGGUCCUGGGUUUGCACCCCAGGUGGAGCCA
rfam:Pteropus alecto contig106382, whole genome shotgun sequence.